UCUCCGUUGGUGAACCAGCGGAGGGAUCAUUAUCGAGUUUAUAACUCCCAAACCCUAUGUGAACUUACCACUUGUUGCUUCGGCGCGCGCUUCGGCGCCGCCGAGGACACUUAAACUCUUUGUUUUUAUAAGCAUUUCUGAGUGGCCGAAAGGCAAAAUACAAAUGAAUCAAAACUUUCAACAAUGGAUCUCUUGGUUCUG
rnacentral:misc_RNA from 1 species